UGAAAGACCUAAUUAACGACGCCCCCAUUCAGCAGGAAGCAGUUUGGAGAGAAAAAACUGCGCCCAUGUUCCCAAAUAUUGUUUAUAAAUGUUCUUUUACAUUUAAAGGGGGAGAUGAUAUAGGACUUUUCAUGACAAUGAGACACUCUGCUCCUGGCAGCACCAAUCUACUUCAAGAGGAAGAUGGGCAUCGAAGAGGAUCCUUAUGGAGUUUGAUAGCCAUUUGGGCAAGAAACUGCUCUUGCCUGGACUAUUGCAUAAACUGGACACAGAGAACCCGCAGAGAGAGGACUGCUGAACUUGCCUAAAGGUGAGAUGAUCUUUCGGGGUUCCUGAUUCAUGAAAGAGUCUGCAAGACAUUCUUCAGGACAAGCAGAUAGUGACUGCCUUUGAAAGUUCCUGCUUUGUGGAAAUGUCUGCUGGAAACUAUGGGCCUCUAGGCUGAAGAUGGAUGCCCCAACGGUACAGAGGAACUUUGGGUGACUGUCCAGGCAGUGAGAUGUCUCUGUCAUUUCUAGAGUUUGAGAGUUUGCUUAUUUCUUAUUUGUUUAGGUAAUAUUGUAUCUUUCUGGACUGUUUGAUGGAGUUAAGAAUAGUUAGCUAUAGUUAUAGUUUUUCUUAGUUAUGAUAUAGAUUAUUGUAAUUUUUACUUGAUAACUGUUUUGUUAUAUGUAAUUUUGCUAUGUUAAGUUAAAGCCUUUUUUUUUUUGUUUAAACAGAAAAAGGGGAAGUGAUGUGGGAGUGUCAUAUAUCAAUCUGUUGAUUUCAUUGGUUAAGUUAUAAUAAACCAGCUGCUUGGCCUCAAGCCUGGAACAUAGAUGGGAGGAGUAAACAGAAUAGAAUUCUGGGCGGAAGAGGAAGUGAGGUCAGACUCUGCUCUGCUUCCAGAGGGACCGAACAGCUCUGCUCUCUGGAGCAGAGACACCAUGAUGGACGGAGGCUAGAAUCUUCCCGGUAAGCGCACCUUGGGGUGCUUACACAGAUGAUUAGAAAUGGGCUAAAUUAAUAUGUGAGAAUUAGCCUAGAAGAGGCUAGAUAGAAAUGGGUCAAGCAGUUAAAUGAAUACAGUUUGUGUGUUGUUAUUUCGGGCAUGAGCUAGCCAAGCGGCCGGGGUGUUGGGGACGCAGCCCCGCCGCUCGUAUUUCAACAUAAUAUUAUAUUUUGUUACAAAGCAUUUAAUACCUUUAAAGUGGGAAUAAUAGCUUAAUCCAUUUUAUAGACAGUAUCAUUUAACCACAUAUAUUUAAUGAUUGGUUUCUUCUACAUAAAAUUACCUAAAUUGAGUUGUCUUUAUUUUGAAGGGACUUGAAAAAAGUAUCUAUAGCUGAUGUUCAAUGCUGAAUCAAACUGGUUAAUCUGAAACACCAUACACUCCUUUCUUUGUGUCUGUUGCACUAAUUGUCAGGGAUUGGGAGAGCAGCAGCAGCAGCUAAUCCAUGGUUGAUAGUUGUGGGCAAUGGUUCCUGUGAAUAGUGACUGGAUAAUGUGCAGUUCACAUUCCUUGAAGUUUGCUGCCCCUUGAGUCACUUGACAAGCCCCUAGGGUAAACAUUACUUUAUAUCUCUUUAAAGGUUCUAUUAUUACAAAGUUUUGAGUCAAUUAUAACUAUUGCGAGGUAUAUUAUGUUGGAAAUUGUAAUUGUAUGUGUCUAUAGAUAUAUGUUAAUAGACAUAUUCUGUGUGUGUGUAUAUAUGAAUAGACGUUCCCAAGUCACACUUAAAUGGGAAACUGCAAACUGUACAUGAGGUUCAAUAAAAACUGGACAGCGUGCAUUGUUGCAUCUUGUCAAGCCAAAAAAAAAAAGGUGAGCUGAAAAUGUGGCAGAUCCCCUUCCUCCCCCCGCCCCCCACACAGAAAUACCAACGUAGGGAGCACAUUUAUGUUUUUAUUGAUCCUUUAAAUGGUGCUUAGAAAAUUCAAGAAUCUCACAUCAUAGUUCUAGUUCUUAAUAGAUCACUUUUUAAAAGAAGGAAAUCUAUAAACUACUCUGUGCUCCUUGGCUGGUCCUGUGCAUCCAAAACACCAUGGUAGUCCUUAGUAAACAUUAAUACAGUUUCUAGGUCGUUUUCUACAUGUAAGGAUUUUUUGGAAGAGGGCUGAGGACGUAGCUCAGUUUGUAGAUCUAAGUUGCCAGCUUAGAUGCAUGCUUAGCACCAUAAAGAAAGCAUUGUUUACCAAAUCUUGGUGUCAUCUAUUAUUGUGUUUAAAGGAUUAAUAUCAUAGGUAUCUUGAACAAAGUAGAAGAAUUGCUAAGAUUUCUCCCAGUAGCUUGAAACCAUUAAAAGUUUUCUUUUGA